rnacentral:lncRNA from 1 species
CACACCACAUACAGUCAAGCAAAGUGCACCCUAGUAUACUGAAUGAACACACAACAGUCAAUCAUAUGGCAUCACAUCAGCACCCACAAACAAUAUCACCUUCAAAUAAUCACACCACGUGGAAAUUAGUCAGUGGAGUCACCGAACCCUUGAUGAGCCGUCCUCCCACAUGGCUCAUCCUCUCACAUGUGCACCAGGGAGCC